AGUGAACGCUGGCGGUAGGCCUAACACAUGCAAGUCGAACGGCAGCACAGUAAGAGCUUGCUCUUACGGGUGCGAGUGGCGGACGGGUGAGGAAUACAUCGGAAUCUACUUUUUCGUGGGGGAUAACGUAGAGAAACUUACGCUAAUACCGCAUACGACCUACGGGUGAAAGCAGGGGAUCUUCGGACCUUGCGCGAUUGAAUGAGCCGAUGUCGGAUUAGCUAGUUGGCGGGGUAAAGGCCCACCAAGGCGACGAUCCGUAGCUGGUCUGAGAGGAUGAUCAGCCACACUGGAACUGAGACACGGUCCAGACUCCUACGGGAGGCAGCAGUGGGGAAUAUUGGACAAUGGGCGCAAGCCUGAUCCAGCCAUACCGCGUGGGUGAAGAAGGCCUUCGGGUUGUAAAGCCCUUUUGUUGGGAAAGAAAAGCAGCAGGUUAAUACCCCGCUGUUCUGACGGUACCCAAAGAAUAAGCACCGGCUAACUUCGUG
rnacentral:rRNA from 1 species